GCAUACACUACACUAGACCUUACCCUAAUUUCCUAAACACAGCCGCCAUCAAAACUAUUGUCAUCGUCUCUACCAAAGAUGCGGUGAUCUCCAGUCUCCCACCGACGGUCCACGGUUGCCAUCGUUUCUCCCAAUCUCUUCCGUCACUUCUCCAUCGCCUCUCUCUCUCUCACACACACACACAUAAAAACCCUAAACGGUGUUGAGGAGUCUUUUUGUUUCUUGACCAGAUGCUGAGCAGUUCUGGAAAUCGCUAUCUCAACCCGUCUUGUUGGCCAAGUCGUCACUCCUGCCGUUUCUACUUCGACCCUAACCAUCACCUGCUUGUGUGUAUCUCUAACGCCUACAAGUUACAUUUUCAUUUGUGGUAAUCGAUCGGAUUUGGCAGUUUAAGGGUUUGAUUUGAAGCUCAACCUGAAAUCGAUCGUCCUUUGUUGUCUGCAUCUCUGCCAUCCCGACGAAGAACAUAGCAAAAGAGACCCACACAUAAGAAAUGUUCAGGUUUCUUUACUCAUUCUCCGCACCUCAUCUAGAUGUUUCAGGUUUCUUUUUUCAUUCUAAUUUUGACUCCUCCAUCUAUAUUUGUCUCUUUUGCAGGUAACUGAAAUAUGAAUGAUUCUUUUUGACGUCCUUACCCCUUGUGCCCUAAUACCAUUCGACACCCACACAUCACAAAUGUUAUAUGGUUCAAACCUCCAGCUACUUCAGUCAUUUCCUCCACCACUCCAUGGAAUUCCUCUGUUAGAUCCACCAAUUCAUUGCCUUCCUCAACAUGUAAGCUUCUCUUAUCCAUCGCUGAACACCUUUUCUUUCUUCUCUAAAUUAUUUUGUUAUUUUAAAUUGAUUUGUUAAGCUGUUUCUUCUAUAAAAUAAAAUCGAUUUUGAAUCUAAUUUUAACAAAAAAAAAAAUUAUUAUCUUCUCAACUCUAGAUUGUCUAUUAUUAGGGUUUUGGAUAAGGAUGGGAUUUCACUUUAGAACAGCUUCAUGGUGCUCUUUGUUUGCUUCGAAACUCACCAAAUCUGGAAAUCUUGUAUAUAAUGCACAUGAAGGUGGUAAAGUAACAAUUGAUAAAAUUAUAUAAUUAUACAAGAGUUGGCAGCUAAUAUGCAGUUGCAUUUUUAUGUUGUUUCAGGAGACUGGAGUUAAUUUGGGACCAGCUUCAAAUCAUUUGAAAAGCUUGUAUUCACUAAAACUCAGAAGACCAAUGCUAGGACUGGAGGUGAUG
rnacentral:lncRNA from 1 species